CCUCACUGCUAUCGGGGUGGGACUAAAACAUGCAAGUCGAGCGCCUCCAAGCUAUGGUGAAGGCGCGGCAUACGGCUCAGUAACACGUGGCCAACCUACCCUUGGGACGGAGACAACCCCGGGAAACUGGGACUAAUCCCCGAUAGGUAAGGAAUCCUGGAAUGGAUCUUUGCUGAAAAGGCGUCUAGACCAUGCUUCUUGACGUCGCCCAAGGAUGGAGCCGCGACCGAUCAGGUAGUUGGCGAGGCAACGGCUCACCAAGCCUAUAACCGGUACGGGCCGUGAGAGCGGGAGCCCGGAGAUGGGCACUGAGACAAGGGCCCAGGCCCUACGGGGCGCAGCAGUUGCGAAAACUCCACAAUGCACGAAAGUGCGAUGGGGCUACCCCGAGUGCCGUCCGCUGAGGACGGCUUUUCCACGGUGUAAGGAGUCGUGGGAAUAAGGAGAGGGCAAGACUGGUGUCAGCCGCCGCGGUAAUACCAGCUCUCCGAGUGGUGAGGACGAUUAUUGGGCUUAAAGCGUUCGUAGCCGGCUUAACAAGUCUUCCGUUAAAUCCAACGAUCUAAUCGUUGGGCCGCGNAAGAUACUGUUGGGCUAGGAGGCGGGAGAAGCCGACGGUAUUCUCGGGGUAGGGGUGAAA
rnacentral:rRNA from 1 species